rnacentral:lncRNA from 1 species
CACAAACCAUAAUUAUUUUCUGGUGACUUUUGAAAAAUGACAUCGAUAUUAAAUUUAAAUAUUUAUAUUUUAUUUUUCCCGAAAUUAGUAAUCCACAGAAAUUAUCAUAUUUUCAAUAUUGUUCCUUAUAGAUGACAACGUGUGAGUAGAGGUACUCUAGUAACUGUCCCAGGUAAGAGUUAUGUACUUACAUGAUAUGUUGAAUUGAAAGCAGACGUUUUUUAUUAAUUGGCUACAACCACUUUGUAACUUUUGUUACUCAUUGGAAUCAUACCUCAUCACAUUUUUGUAUGCUGAAUUUAAUAUAUAUGGAUAAUAUUGGUAAGUGCAUAUCAAAAAACCAAUCAAGAUAAUAAAAAAAAACCAAUACAAAACAAGUACUAAAAGGGUACGACAAUAAUCAAAUACACUUACCAGGCCCAUUUCAUUUAUCAAAUGUCAAGUCUAUAAUAUAUAUAGUUUGACUAGCUUGUUGAUUGUCUUUAUUAAAAAAAAGAGUAAUACCAAGAAUAACGAACUCAAAGGUAAAUUAUCAAAGGGGGAAGUCCAAUCAAACUUACAAAACAAACUAACGAAACGAAUUUAAAAUAACUGACAUGUUUCCCAAUUACGUUCAUACUUUUUUAGAUCAAGGUUGUGGGAAAAUAUGAUUUCAUUUUAUCUAAACCGCCCAAUUAAAUGACAGAUUUUAUAACUCCGUUACAUUGACAAAAUUAUGUGAAUCAUCCAAACAAACGUAAGAAACAGUUAUUUAUUAAAAAAAAAACAUAAAAUAUUCUAAAGUUAUCACAUACAUUUUAGUCAAUUGCAUUGUCUUUAACAAUUAGAAAUAUAAAAAAAAACAAAUCGUUCAUUAAGCAAAUCACAAAAAAUAUAAUAUGAUUGACAUCUACACACGUAAACGUGUUGUUGUUGUAGGUGACCAUAAAUGUCAACUAUAAACAUGUUCUUUAUUUGUUUAAACAUUUUUUUUGUCUUUUGAAUUGAUUAUCAUUUUAUCGCCUGCUGCUUUAUAGUAUGCGAUGACCAUAAGGACAGGUAAUGAGCAAUAUAGAACUCUAUUUUGUUAAACAAAUGUAUUGAAAAACACAACUCACAUGUUCAAAAUGUGCCACUACUAAUCGAAACUAUAAGAACAAGUUCAGAACGGAACACAUUAUGACAAUACAAAAUGAAUAAAAUGAUGUUAAACGUAACUUAUUAAAUUAACAUAAUUUUAAAUGUGGAACAAAGUGAUAACAUAAUAAUUCUAUAUCACAUCACAACCUCGAAACAUGUUCAUCCAUAAGAUACACAACAUUUAUGGUGUGUCAAGUAUCAAUAAUUUUAUAUGCAUUUCAUAAAAUUAUAAAGAGGUAUAAUGAUAAUUGUUGUAACAAUGAAUCCUUCGAAAGAGGGCUAAUAUAUAUGUUUUUAUCUACCUUUAAACAAUUCUAAACGCUUUGCAUUCUGUAAUAUUAUAUUGUCUACUUUACGUUUCUCAUUAAGACACAUUAUAUCGUUAUAUGCAUUAAAUUCUAUGUUUAUUACAAAUAAUUAUGGCGCUAUAAUACUUAGCAGUGUACACAAUUUAACGUCGUUCAUAAAGACACUUUAUAUGCAGUAACGUCUAUGUUCAUUGCAGAUAAAUAUGGUGCAAUAAUACCUGACAUAGUAUACAAAAUAAAGUUGUUCAUACAUACACAUUAUAUUUAACACUGUCGAUGUUUAUUACAGCUGAUUUUAAACAUUUAGGCGCUCCAAUAAAAAAAGUUGCUAAUUUGAAAGAUGUUGCUGAUGACAAGCCAGUAGCGUGGACACCACCUCCGCCACCACCACCACCGGAUCCACCAAAUCCUCACUCAUGAUAUUUUCAAUAACUGAUUUGAAACUUAUCAGCAUAAUACCUUCCAUAACGGUAUCUUUUUUAGCAAUCGAAAAAUGUUGAUAUCUUAUGUUCAUAAUAUUAAGAGUUAUCUGUUGGUUUUUUUUUAAUAUUCAAUCUACUGCAUAAAGUUACAUUACCCG